UACGAAGGGGGCUAGCGUUGUUCGGAAUUACUGGGCGUAAAGCGCACGUAGGCGGCUUCUUAAGUCAGGAGUGAAAUCCUGGAGCUCAACUCCAGAACUGCCUUUGAUACUGGGGAGCUAGAGUCCGGGAGAGGUGAGUGGAACUGCGAGUGUAGAGGUGAAAUUCGUAGAUAUUCGCAAGAACACCAGUGGCGAAGGCGGCUCACUGGCCCGGUACUGACGCUGAGGUGCGAAAGCGUGGGGAGCAAACAGG
rnacentral:rRNA from 1 species